rnacentral:tRNA from 1 species
UAAAAGGUAAGCUAAAAAAGCUUAAGGGCUCAUAACCCUUCUAUGGAUAACCCCUUUUAA